GACGAACGCUGGCGGCGUGCUUAACACAUGCAAGUCGAACGGAAAGGCCCUGCUUUUGUGGGGUGCUCGAGUGGCGAACGGGUGAGUAACACGUGAGUAACCUGCCCUUGACUUUGGGAUAACUUCAGGAAACUGGGGCUAAUACCGGAUAGGAGCUCCUGCUGCAUGGUGGGGGUUGGAAAGUUUCGGCGGUUGGGGAUGGACUCGCGGCUUAUCAGCUUGUUGGUGGGGUAGUGGCUUACCAAGGCUUUGACGGGUAGCCGGCCUGAGAGGGUGACCGGCCACAUGGGGACGGAGAUACGGCCCAGACGCCGACGGGAGGCAGCAGUGGGGAAGAUGGCACAAGGGGCGGAAGCCGGAUGCAGCAACGCCGCGUGCGGGAUGACGGCCUGCGGGUUGUAAACCGCGUGCGCCUGUGACGAAGCGUGAGUGACGGGAAGGGGGAAAGAAGCACCGGCUAACUACGUG
rnacentral:rRNA from 1 species